AGCUCCAAUAGCGUAUAUUAAAGUUGUUGCAGUUAAAAAGCUCGUAGUUGGAUUUGAGGUACUUUAACUGGCCGAGAGGAUGGUUGGACCUUUACGGCAUUUGUUACUGUACUCUACGUCCGAUGGUUGGUAGCUGUUCUUAACUGAAUGGUUAUUGAUUUCGGACCGUUUACCUUGAAUAAAUUAGGGUGUUCAAAGCAGGCUCUUAUAGCCUUGAAUAGUUUAGCAUGGGAUAAUGGAAUACGUCUCGGGUCCAGUUCGUUGGUAAUCUGGGCUCGAGAAAUGAUUAAUAGAGAUUGUCGGGGUUAUUCAUAUUCAAUUGUCAGAGGUGAAAUUCUUAGAUUCUUUGAAGAUGAACUGCAGCGAAAGCGUUUAACAAGGAUGCUCUCA
rnacentral:rRNA from 1 species